ACCUUUGGUAAGGAAACAACAAGAUCUGGGAAAAAAAAUGGAGAAGCAAGAAUGUGGAAAGCAACUCUUUCAGCUCCGGCGCCGGCACUGCCGGAGGGUUGCAUCGCCCAUGUUCUCGUCUUCACCACUCUUCGGAAUGCGUGUAGGAUGCCAGCGGUGUUGUCGGUAUUCCUUUUGGCAUCGGAGUCCAAAAUGGAGAAGCAAGAAUGUGGAAAGCAACUCUUUCAGCUCCGGCGCCGGCACUGCCGGAGGGUUGCAUCGCCCAUGUUCUCGCGUUCACCACUCUUCGGAAUGCGUGUAGGAUGCCAGCGGUGUUGUCGGUAUUCCUAUUGGCAUCGGAGUCCGGCGUCGUGUGGGAGAGGUUCCUGCCGUCCGAUUAUCCCAAUAUCCUAGGCCGAU
rnacentral:lncRNA from 1 species